GGAGAUAUGGCUCAGUGGUUAAGAGCACUGACUACUCUUCAGGAGAUCCUGAGUUCAAUUCCCAGCAUCUACA
rnacentral:tRNA from 2 species